CCUACGGGAGGCAGCAGUGGGGAAUCUUGCGCAAUGGGCGAAAGCCUGACGCAGCAACGCCGCGUGCGGGAAGAAGGCUUUCGGGCUGUAAACCGCUUUCAGCAGGAACGAAAAUGACGGUACCUGCAGAAGAAGGAGCGGCCAACUAUGUGCCAGCAGCCGCGGUGAUACAUAGGCUUCAAGCGUUGUCCGGAUUUAUUGGGCGUAAAGAGUUCGUAGGCGGUCAAGUAAGUCGGGUGUGAAAAUUCUGGGCUCAACCCAGAGACGCCACCCGAUACUGCUUAACUUGAGUUCGAUAGGGGAGUGGGGAAUUCCUAGUGUAGCGGUGAAAUGCGCAGAUAUUAGGAGGAACACCGGUGGCGAAGGCGCCACUCUGGAUCGAUACUGACGCUGAGGAACGAAAGCAUGGGUAGCAAACAGGAUUAGAUACCCUGGUAGUCCAUGCCGUAAACGGUGGGCACUAGGUGUGGGUUUCUAUUAACGAAAUCCGCGCCGUCGCUAACGCAUUAAGUGCCCCGCCUGGGGAGUACGGUCGCAAGACUAAAACUUAAAUGAAUUGA
rnacentral:rRNA from 1 species